UGGGGAAUAUUGGACAAUGGGCGCAAGCCUGAUCCAGCAAUGCCGCGUGAGUGAAGAAGGCCUUAGGGUUGUAAAGCUCUUUUAGUAGGGAAGAUAAUGACGGUACCUACAGAAUAAGCACCGGCUAACUCCGUGCCAGCAGCCGCGGUAAUACGGAGGGUGCUAGCGUUAUUCGGAAUUACUGGGCGUAAAGAGCGCGUAGGCGGCUUUGUAAGUUGGAAGUGAAAUCCCAGAGCUUAACUUUGGAAUUGCUUUCAAUACUGCAGAGCUAGAGAAUGGUAGAGGAUGAUGGAAUUCCUAGUGUAGAGGUGAAAUUCGUAGAUAUUAGGAGGAACACCAGUGGCGAAGGCGGUCAUCUGGGCCAUUUCUGACGCUGUGGCGCGAAAGCGUGGGGAGCAAA
rnacentral:rRNA from 1 species